rnacentral:lncRNA from 1 species
AAUUGAUGAUUACCUUGGCCCAUAGUGUAGGAUUGAUUCGAUGAUGUGGUUUAUUUAUUAAGCUGAGUCUCAGCGAUAAAGUUGAUGAAAAACUUUUUAAAUCAUAGACGAUAUUAGAUAUCAUGCUCUACUUGACUUUUCUAAUGGAUUGCUUGUCCCGCUGCAGUUAAACUUGAUGUUUAUUGUAUUUUAUCAGUUUAACACUGUUGAAGG